rnacentral:rRNA from 1 species
UAGAGUUUGAUCCUGGCUCAGAGCGAACGCUGGCGGCAGGCCUAACACAUGCAAGUCGAGCGCCCAGCAAUGGGAGCGGCAGACGGGUGAGUAACACGUGGGGAUCUACCCAAUGGUACGGAAUAACCCAGGGAAACUUGGAUUAAUACCGUAUGUGCCCUUCGGGGGAAAGAUUUAUCGCCAUUGGAUGAACCCGCGUCGGAUUAGCUAGUUGGUGAGGUAAAGGCUCACCAAGGCGACGAUCCGUAGCUGGUCUGAGAGGAUGAUCAGCCACACUGGGACUGAGACACGGCCCAGACUCCUACGGGAGGCAGCAGUGGGGAAUAUUGGACAAUGGGCGCAAGCCUGAUCCAGCCAUGCCGCGUGAGUGAUGAAGGCCUUAGGGUUGUAAAGCUCUUUCGCCGGUGAAGAUAAUGACGGUAACCGGAGAAGAAGCCCCGGCUAACUUCGUGCCAGCAGCCGCGGUAAUA